GACAGAGGUUGCAAACGUUGUUCGGAAUUACUGGGCCUAAAGCGCACGUAGGCGGUUCGUUAAGUCAUGUGUGAAAUCCCUCGGCUCAACCGAGGAAUUGCGCCUGAUACUGGCGGGCUAGAGAUCGAUAGGGGUGAGUGGAACUCCAGGUGGAGCGGUGAAAUGCGUAGAUAUCUGGAGGAACACCGGUGGCGAAAGCGGCUCACUGGAUCGAUACUGACGCUGAGGCACGACAGCGUGGGGAGCAAACAGG
rnacentral:rRNA from 1 species